rnacentral:rRNA from 1 species
UACGUAGGGUGCAAGCGUUGUCCGGAAUUAUUGGGCGUAAAGAGCUCGUAGGCGGUCUGUCGCGUCUGCUGUGAAAACUCAGGGCUUAACCCUGAGCUUGCAGUGGGUACGGGCAGACUAGAGUGCGGUAGGGGAGACUGGAAUUCCUGGUGUAGCGGUGAAAUGCGCAGAUAUCAGGAGGAACACCGGUGGCGAAGGCGGGUCUCUGGGCCGAUACUGACGCUGGAGGAGCGGAAAGCCGUGGGGAGCGAACAGG